GGACAGUGAAGGUGCAUCACAGAGGGUCUAUUACUUUCUUGCCUGCCAAGACACUUGUGCUCCUCACUCACAAGUCCCUGACCACACCUCCUCCUUCCCCAUCUCAUUCACAGAGCCUUUUAACAGGCCGUCUACAUUCACAGGCACUCAGUGGCAAUGCCUUCAGGGGACUUGGAAACCCUUCAGUUACACCCAACUCAGUGUUCGGCCACAAGGAUAGCCCCCGUGUGCAGAACUUUAGCAAUCCUCACGAACCCUGGAACCGGCUGCACCGAACGCCUCCGUCGUUCCCGACCCCUCUCCCCUGGCUUCAGUUGGAGCGCAGUGCGUCCGCUGCAGCCCAUGACAGAGAUAGAGAUGUAGAUAAACGAGACUCCUCCGUUAGUAAGGAUGACAAGGAAAGGUAGGAAAAGUCCCGCUGGGGGAGCCCGCCCUGUGCCACACGCCAGUCAGAACCAGCCACCUCCCCU
rnacentral:lncRNA from 1 species